UAUUCUGCCCUACCGGGAAGGAUGAGAAGCUUCGACCAAGGUUCGACUCGAGCGCCAGCAAGAGAACGUUGCCGCAGGCAACGGCCCGAAGGGCGAGGAGCUAUAGCGACGAGUUAUCCUUCCCCCUCUAUUC
rnacentral:sRNA from 1 species